AAGUCGUAACAAGGUUUCCGUAGGUGAACCUGCGGAAGGAUCAUUACAGAGUUCAUGCCCUCCGGGGUAGAUCUCCCACCCAUGCCUAUUUACCUUUGUUGCUUUGGCGGGUCGUCCUUCCAGGCCAUCGGCUUCUCGCUGGUGUGCGCCCGCCAGAGGACCCCAAACCCUGAAUUAUCAGUGUCGUCUGAGUACUAUAUAAUAGUUAAAA
rnacentral:misc_RNA from 1 species